CAUUGAAACACUGGUUCUCAUAUGUUCACUGAAUUUAAGCAAUGUUGAACCUGGUCAGUAUCUAGAUGUGUGACCGCUUGGGAAUACCAGAUGCUGUAAG